CUCAGGACGAACGCUGGCGGCGUGCCUAAUACAUGCAAGUCGAACGGUCUUUCUAUGGAAGCUUGCUUCCACUGAGAAGAUAGUGGCGAACGGGUGAGUAACACGUGGGUAACCUGCCCAUAAGAGGGGGGAUAACAUCCGGAAACGGGUGCUAAUACCGCAUAGUUUUCUUGAUCGCAUGAUUGAGAAAGGAAAGACGGCCUUUGUGCUGUCGCUUAUGGAUGGACCCGCGGCGUAUUAGUUAGUUGGUGAGGUAACGGCUCACCAAGACGAUGAUACGUAGCCGACCUGAGAGGGUGAUCGGCCACAUUGGGACUGAGACACGGCCCAAACUCCUACGGGAGGCAGCAGUAGGGAAUCUUCCGCAAUGGACGAAAGUCUGACGGAGCAACGCCGCGUGAGUGAAAGAAGGUUUUCGGAUCGUAAAACUCUGUUGUCAGAGAAGAACAAGUUGGAGAGUAACUGCUCCAGCCUUGACGGUAUCUGACCAGAAAGCCACGGCUAACUACGUGCCAGCCGCCGC
rnacentral:rRNA from 1 species